UUUCCAAAUUCUCUUUUGAUGUUGUUCUUGAUAAUGCAACAUAUAACUGACCGUGACUAAAUACUGGAGUGGAUAAAUAUAAACCAACUUUGUCAAGCGAUUGGCCUUGAGAUUUAUUUAUUUCCAUAGCAAAGCUAAGUCUUAUUAGAAAUUGCCUUCUAACCAUACCAAAUGGUAUUUCAUCCAGUAAUGCAGCUUAAUCGAUACGAGGCAAUAAUACUUGUUUACCGAAAUAUUUUCCAGUAAUAAUUUCUGCUAGGCACGCGCAGCAGCAGGCAGCAGAGUAGGUACGUCCGGCCUUGUGUAAACAUAAACAUGGCCUAAAACAGUGGUGUUUUGGAGCUGCGCGGUGAGCAUAAACUUUCGCGAAUCUGUCUAUUGUGCGUGAUUGUGCGUUUAUCAAAGUAUCUUCGUGCUACCGCUAGUGUACCGCUCGACAAAUUUAAUGUGUCUAAUCCUUAGGCGGCGAACAACUACUAAGACUCGACGCAAGCACUCGCGUGGAUCAUCACAAACACAACGUGUGAAUCCAGAGAGUAAACAGCAGCGUGCUCUACAUCAGCGAACAUCUUGUGACCCUUGGUUCAUAUCGGUGGACUGAAAACUGGGCACCGGACAAUCGCUUCAGGACAUGCAGGACUGCUACAACAGAGUCGAGCGAAAUCGACACCGUGAUGCACGGAAAAUCUAUAAGCUCGUCUUCAACUUCACGAGCUCUCACCGAUCGAGCUCGACGACGACCCCGUCCCCUGCAAUGCCGACCUUCACGUCUAUGCGGUUUCAAUCUCGACAUAAGCGGGCUGCGAUGCCACCUCGAUCAUGGCCACUCCCCACCCCUUCCUCCCUGAAAUCGGACAGCCCUCACAUAUUAGUGCAGCAGAGUUCGCCACAAUUGACGUUAGACAACGAGAGCCCAAGAACGAGUUUGCGACGGAACGUCUCAUCAAGUUCGAGGACGAGGAGGAGGCGAUAAACGACAACGGCAGUGCUAGGAGUCCGACGAACCUCAUCUCUCGAGCUCAGCAUACCCGUAACACCCGGCUACAAAUUCAAGCCUACCGCCGCCCGCCAGCAUCAUCAAGAUCCUCACGCCCCAGAUGAUCAAGGUUGCUCAAUAGCAACAGCAGCAGGUCCUCAAAGACAAGAU